CGGACACCAACUUGGCAGUGUUGGACAAAAAGAUUCACUUUCUAAACAGUUAUUUCUCAUCAACACGUAAAAGAGUUAAUCCUGCCUUUCUACUCAGCCCAAAUGAGGUAGCAUAGGGAGCACUGUGUUCAGUUCUGAACACCUCUCUUAUGAGGAAAGAUUGAGAAGGCUGGGCCUGUUUAGCCUUGAGAAGAGGUGAAUGAGUGAGGACCUCAUCACUGUCUAUAAUACGUAUCUGAAGGGAGGGUGUCAAGAGGAUGUUUCCAGGCUCUUCUCAGUGGUGCCAAGCAAUACGACAAGAAGCAAUGUGCAGAAACUGAUGCACAGGAAAUUCCAUCUGAAUAUGAGGAAGAACUUCAGUGUGCGAGUGACUAAGCAAUGGCACAGAUUGUCCAGAGAAGUUUUUGAGUCUCUCUCAUGGGAGCUAUUCAAGAAUUGUCUGAACACAAUUCUGUGCUCAUCUGCCAGCAGGGAGAUUGGAGCCACUGUGAUCACUUUCAAUCUAACCAUUCUGUGUUUCUGUGAUUUUCCUCAUAGCAGUAGGUUUGGAGUAUUAAAAUACUUUGUGUAGUAUGUCCAAUAAUCUUCACUCUUUCAGCAUGGUUUCACAUAAUCUGAAAUACUCUGACAUCAAAACUUGAACUAAUAUCAAGAGAUUUCUUGAAAAAAGAAGGAAGGCAUAGAAAGGAUGGUGAAACCACCUAUUCAGAUUUCUUUUUCAUUCUGCUCUGUAUUCAAGUUACCUGCUGUUACCAAAUUUAAAUACAAAUAACAAUCUUAUGGAUACACAAUCUCAUGUAAGAAGCAAUUAGAUAUAUUUAUUAAAGUAAACAGCAGCAUAAUUGUUCUGGUUUAGGACAAAUCCAGGAGAAAAUAUCCAACAGGGGCCCCCAAGAAAGCAAACCUGCAUGGCCCCUCCUCCCAACCAGUUCAGGAAAGAAUUUCCUUGGAGAGAGGUAGAAAAAACCUGUUUAUUUAACAGGCAAAGCACUCCCUAGCACAAAAAAUGAACAAAACCAGAUGACAAAGCUCAUUCGUUGCUCUGAAGAGAUGAAAAGUUCAGAAAGUCUCUCCGGUGGGGGGUUGCUCUGUUAUCAGUCGCUCCGGUGCUGGGAAAGGCUGCACAGUAGGUCCUGGCAGACUGCAAAGUGUGAGCUCCCAGUGUUUCCCCUGGUCCCAGUCCAGAGCAGGCUCAAACAGUUCCAAAAAAAGGGAAAGAAAAUCAGUCCAGGGCAACUCCUCUUCCUCAGCUAGCUAAACUAACUAAAUAGAAAAGGAGCGUGGUGUUCUGCCCCAUCCGUGCCCAGAGAACACAGUCCAGCCGAAUGUGGAGGAGUGAAUGCAGUCCCUGAUAACAAACUCUGCUUCUUCUUCUCCACACCUUUGCUCUCAGCCAGUCUUGAAGGCACAGAAUAUAAUAUCCAGCAUAAACAGGACACCCAGUUGGGAAUACAAGCAUCAUAAUGUCACCCUAGGACCUUAAUUUACAGCUUUAAGAAUAAAGUCUGGAGAAGAUCAUGAAGAUGACUGAAGCUCCUAAGUGAUGGUAUCCUUGAAGAAAUACUAUUUUGAAGUACAAAAGAGCCAGUGCUGAGAAGCUCCUUGGUAAGGAUAAGAAGACAGAAACAAGAAGACAGAAACUCCACUACACAGUGAGAGCAGAAUUCCAAUAAUUAACAGAUCUAUUCCUUUCUCUAUUCCUUUAACUCAAUCCAGUCCAACAGAACUGUUAGAACAGUUCAUUAAGAUAUGAAAAACUGAGAUCUCAUCUCUGGUUUAAUUAAUAAACUAAUGGUUAAUCCAGGGCGAUCCAAAUAAUCUCAAAAGGGCCAUUUGCUAAUUUGUUAAUGAGUUCCUCUUUCUAAAAUGUAUUCUUGAUAAAUAUUUAAUUGCUAUAUUCUCAUAAAAGUAUAAGAGUUAAUAAAUAUUUUUUUUUUCCAAAUAGGGAACAAGAGGACAGGAGGAGAAAUCUCAAGUGGGGUUCUUUUAUUUUACACAUCUCAUCCUCCUCUAUAGAACCGAAGAUUAAUGGAUGACAUGCUGCUAUUUUCUACUUCGAAAUAGAGCAAUAUAGGAUUUAAUCUUUUUGUUGCCAUGACACCGACCAAAAAAUGGGUCAGAUGUGGUGUUAAGGAAAGAUUUUAACUGAAUUUUUUAAAUAAAUCCAUAAGGCCUCUUUUAUGAUGUCUGUAUAUUUUAGUUUAUCUAUAAUAUGUACAUAUAGAUCUACAUAUCCUGACCUAUUUAUUCUGUAAAUAUAUUUUUUAUACAGGUGAUGGAACUAAUCUUUCUUUUGUAGAUGGUGAACUAAAAAAACAAAUAAAUAGCUCCUCAGGUAGAGAUGUAAAGAUGUUAAUGCAGAAUAUAAGCUACUAGUUAAUACCAUGGUCUAGAUGAUCAGCAACCCAUUAGUGUUCAGCAUGAGAGAUCUUUGUUCCACACUGACUGCAGUUUUGGCAUUUAUUUGAAGAAAAGGGCUACCAGACUAUUGGUGCAAUGUUCCUUAAAGAGCAAAUAACAUGCAAGAGGCAAGAUAAAAGGGCAGAGUGGAUAAAUUCCAGUGGCUUUGUUUAGAAUUCUGUCAUGUAAUACCUAGCUAUAUCAUACACCAGGCAGAAAAAUAAAGUGCUGAAAUCUUGGCCUAGCAAGUUAUAAAAAAAUCAUACCUUAACUAUUCUACCCAGCUGCCACAUUUAUGAGUAAGGUCUUAUUUUACAAAACUACAGAUGGGCAGGUAUAGAGAUAUCUAUUUCUGUACAGCAGACAGUAAAUAUUUAUUCACAGCUGCUAGGUCAAUUCCAAUUACCUGCAAAAAAAUAAAUCCACUUCAGCCAUUUCUUUGACCAAGGAAAAAAAAAGAAUGAAAACAUACCAAAGCAAAGAAAAAGUAAAUGAUAUUGAGGAAAAAUUAAAAAGCAGGAAAACAAAAGACUUAGUGUGUUAUGUCAGGCCUAAUCCUGAAAGGUGUUUGGUGAGUUAAUUGACUGCUAUUUGGUCUAAAAUUUACAUUUCAAUUACAUGAAUUCAAGUAGUGCACAUAAUCCAUAAAGCCAGAGCAAAGAAAAGGAAAUAGAAAACUGAGUUAGUAUUGCAUUUUCUAAGACCAUGAAUUUUUUAUUAAGUGAUUAUUAAUUGUGCAAAGUCUUGCAAAAUAUAAUGCCAUGCAAGCAAUAAUUACUAAAAAUUAUCAUGUUUAAUAAUCCUGCAUUUUUUUAGCACUAGAGGCCACUUAAACAGCAGUUAAGAGCAGGAAACUGUCAAAAGAUAUUUUUGUAUAUCUUGCAUAGGAUAUCAAUAUGCAAGUGGAAAAUGAGGAGGACUGGAAAUGUUAGCCUGAGUAGAGUGUUCCUUGUAAUGUUUCCUGAUUUUUGUUUCUGCAAACUACAGAGUGUAAAGCACAUUCCUGCUACCAUUUCAUUUUAUCUUACAACAUUAAGAGGUAGAGAUUCUCCCAGAGUCUGUGGUGAAGACCGUGGUGAGGCAGAUGUCCCUUUGCAGCCCAUGAGGGUCCACAGUGGAGCACAGAUCCAUCUGCAGCCCAUGGUAAAACCUAAAUAUUAGAAUAUCGAGUUAAAAAACUGUGAAUGUUUUUUGUGUGCUUAAGAUGUUUUUAAUAUAUUACAAGUUAGGCAAAUAUUAGGUAAAAUCAGAUAGAAUCCAUAACAUGGGUGUGAGAUGCACUCUUCCUCAAAGAGACUGUUUAUACUGAAAAAUUGGACUCUUGUUUGCUGUAGCUGGCUUUCCUAUUAAACUUGUUUCAGAAAUUUCUUCUGCUCACAAGGCAGGAAGACCUAUGCCAUAAGGAUGUCUGUCCCUACUUUUGAAUAAAAUGGAUUGUGACUUGCAUUUUCUGCUGAACUCACUGUUGUCAAUAUAUGUUAGCUUUGGUCUGAGCAUGCCUAGUGAAUGGUGCCCAUGAGGGAACACAGUGCUAACAAUACCUAAACCAAGAGCCUCUAACAGCCCUAUGAAGAAGACAACAGUUGCAUCAAUUGGUGCAGCAUAUUUUUUUGCUGAUGCACAGCUUUGACACCUAACAAGAUUGCUUCUUAGGAGCAGCUGAUCUGCUUAGCACCAUGGGAGAUUGUAGGUAACUCUGUUCUGCCCAGGGAAUUUAGCUGCUGAGUUUGCAUCUUAAUCUGUGCAUUUGUCUCUUCUACAGAGAGUCCAAACAAAGAACUAGUGGCAUCUCUACUUAAAAUUCUAUAUUGGGUAAAGGAUGAACUCUCAGUAUACCCCAAGGAGUUUCAGAAAGCAUUAGAUAUCUCAAGCCUGUGAUAAUUUACUAUACACAGCCAUUAACAGACACCAUUUUAUCCCUGAGCUCCUCUUAAAGUUGCACAUUUAAAUUCCAUUUCCAGAGACUUUAUUCAAAAUUAAGUAUUUAAACAUUUAUUUUCAACUCUUCUAAAUAAGUAGGAGACUAAAUUCAGUGGGUUAAUUAUUAAUAUCACAUUCUUCAUUCAGUUCCUUCUGAGACAUGACUGAAAAAUUGACCACAACAGUUUUGUUAUUGCCUGACUUCCUGUCCAAUACUUUUUUAUUAUCUAAAUUGCAGGGGAUGAUGGACCUAACAUGGCUCUGCACAGCUUUUGAGUAGGGAAGGAAGAUAAAGAGGAUUUUGCAUGGUAUACAAGUUAUCCAGCUGGGUGAUUUUUCAGUUUGCCUGAUCUAAUUACCUUUAUUACCAUCUCCUCUGCAAAACAAAAGAGUUCAGCUUGUGUUUUUGCAGAUUCGAGAAUGCAGGCACUUGAUGGAUGCAUAGAAUACCUUCAUUUCAGGGCUUGAAAUAUGGACUCAUGAAUUUAUUGAGAGUCACGCAGACACCACAACUAUCUGAUUGUGGGUUUUGGAGUGAUUAGUGUGGAUUUGCUACAACCUGCUUGUGAUGAGAAAGAUGAGGGUGCAUAUUUGCUUGUCUCUGUCUCUGUGCAGAACAGGACUUCUUCCCCCUUUUUCCCUAGUGCAUCAUAUCUCUGCUUGGUGUAUCUAAUUGAUUUUUCUAUUUCAGAGGAUUGGAGCUUUGCCAGUCUUGUAGUGCCUGCCUGAAGCUUUUUACAGACUUCUGCUUCCUGCUCCCUUUUCUUUCCUUGUGAAUCUUUUCCUAUUGUCGGAUUUUCUGUAUUUAAGUAGUUUUUUAUUUAAUUUUUGUCUUGUUUAAGCAGGAGAUGAAAGGAACUGCUUCCUUUAGGUUGCUGCUUUGGUAGGCUUUCCAGGAUAGGAGAGUGAAUAUCCAGUCUUUCUUAGAGCAAGAGAUAAAGACAAGAUCAAGGGCCUGCUAUGCUUAUGUUACAGGGAAGUCACAGGUAAUUAAAGAUGUAUUAAUGUGUGACAGAAAGAAAUAAUAAAAAAAAAAAAAAACAAACAUUUAAAGCAGUUUAUAAUAAUGUUGCUGUAAUGAGAUUAUAGGUUUUUACACAGAACCUGGCUUAUGCCCUGCAUAAGAACAAGGCAAUCUUGAAGUCUUGAUAAGAUGUCUUAGCAGGGGAAAGGCUGCUGAAGUUACUAAGGGUGCAAAGAAGGGGGUUCUUGGUGUUUUCCUUCUAUAAAUCCCUGCUGGUGUUUUCAGAAGGGCUGUGUUCUAACAUGUAUAAUGUAUCUCUUCCUAGGACCACUGCAUGUUUUGAUUACUAUACAGAAGGAAGGCAAAGGUGAACAGAUGAAAGGAAAAAAAAUCAGAAACUAUUUUUCUUUUCCUCCCAGGUAUUCCGGACAAAAAUAAGGGCUUAAGUGCAUCCAUGUUCAUCCAGGAGUUUCAACAGCUUCAUAAUUUUAGCUGAAUUUUUACUCUGAUGUUAAAGGAAGUUAAAAUCAACUUAAUCUGAGGUCACAGGAGGUGUGAAGAAAGCAUUUCUCCAAUUAAAUUGCAUUUUAACUUUAUUUGACCAAGUCCAUAGUUCACUACUGAUAAGUGAAAACUAAAAUAAAAGUGUUAUUUUAAACCUUAUACACAUCCUUAAAAUUGGAAGCCUAGACAAUUUAUAUUGUGCUAGUUAAGAUUUUUUUUUCUUUAAUGUAGAUAAAGUAAAAAAUAAAUAUGAAGCUAAAGUGCAUGAAACCUUUGCAGCAUGGAAUGUGAUUUAAUAGGUUACUGGAAAUGAAACAAAGUUAUUAAUUGAUCAGAAAUUAAUAUUAUAGAAAGCUGCAAAAAUGAGGGACUUCUGUACUAUUUACAAAAUAGGUCAAAAUAGGUUGUAGUUCUAUGAGCUGUUAAGUUCCUUUUAGAAAGUAUUCAGUUGUGGCAGUCAGUCAGGGUAUUUGAUCAAAACCUUGAUGAAAAAGCAAAAUGAGUAAAAGUAUUCUCUCAGUCAAAACUGAUCUAAACUUUCUAAAGGCUGACUUGUUCAACAUGUUUUUCAUUAUGCAUUUAUCAUUUAUAACUAGAAUCUGGCAUGCCACAGGCCUUUUGCAUCAUAACUUCCUUAUCUUUCAUCAAAAAUCUACUCCUCUAAUGUCAACAAGAAGUUGCUGCCCUCAUUUGGGAGAAUAUAUCCCUUCUGUAAAUUCAUUCACUUAGGCUCAAUUCCUUCUAUUUGUUGCAGAAAGAUUUUUCUUCCCUAAGCUGUCUUGAUGCCUGCUGCUUCAGAGCUCAAGAAAUAUGUGUCUCUAUAACCAAAAGAGAAAAUACUAUUUUUGAUUUCCCAGUAUGAACAGCCAGAAUCAGCCAGAAGAGAAAUUGUCCACUUAAUGAUAUGUCCACCCCAGCUAGAUUCAAGUGUUAGAUCUCCUCAGGUACUGGAAGAAAACCUCAUUAAAGAGAAAAACUUCUGAAAGUUUGAAGAAUGAGAUAAUAUAUUAUGUCACAUUUAUACUCUGUUACUAGAAUACAGAUAUGCUGAAUCUGGACUGCUACUAUGAACAGACUGGGGAGAAGAAUUUGGGGAUGCUGGUGGAUGCAAGGCUGGACAUGACCCAGAAAUGUGCACUCAUAAAAAAAUUAAUAGAAAACAGCACUAGCAUUGACUUUAACCAGAACUUCUUCAAGUGCUGCUUGUUUGCAAAACAAAGGGGAGCAAAUGGCAAAAAAAUCUGGGAGCAACAACUUGUUCUGAAAUAAAAGCUUCAACAAGAGCCUGUUGCCACACAUUUACCACCAGGGCCACAUUGUACUUAUGUCUCUGGCAGACUAUUCCAUUCAAGAUCCAUGAUUAUUUCUGUGUAUUUUGUUGACAUUUAAGUGGAAAAAAAAGUGUUGCACAGGUAUUGAAUUUUGACUGGUUUCUGGACUGUUUGCAGGUCUUUUCAAGCCUAGCACCUUGCUCUCCCCCUCCUUCAAUCUGGUCACUCCCGGUUCCACGCUGGAAGUGAGAGUGAACCUUACAAAAACACAGCCAUUUUAGAUAGCAAUAACCCCUCUCCAUCAAUAACCAUGGAGAGAGUGAGUGCAUGCUUCCAUAUCUACAGGCAUAAGCAUCAAGCAGUACAUUGAACAGCCAAAUACAGCACUCAAAGAACCUUCUCCUAAGCCUCCGAGACAGCAAAAAAACCAAGCUCAGAUGGCAUGGAAGAAAAGAAGGAAAAAGACUGUAACCACAGAUGUUUGUCACAGAAAAUGUCCCUCCACUACUUCAUAAGACUGUUUGUUCUAUAUUGUCUGAAUUUUAUGUAAAUAUAUAUACUGAGGUUCAAAAGCUCAAACACACAGAAAUUAUAAAAAAAAAGCUACAGCUUCUUUUAUAGCCAUUUUUUGUGAGUCUUUAAGAAUGCUUUCAGUUUUCAAAAUUCUGUUAUAUUCUAACAGUACAACUGUGUCUCCAUUUUAUAACAGUAGUUAUAAGAUCCAAGUAAUUUUGUCUUAAGAAUAAUGAGUCUUUAAAGCCAUUGAGAAGCAGAGAUGCAAAAGCCUCUAACAGCCUUACUAAAGGAUGUGCAGCACUCGUGUAACUAAAUACAAUUUUGUCUAUGUACUUUAAACGUGACAAAUCCAUGAAAUUGAAAUUUGCAAAUACUCAGUCUUUACUGAAUCUUGCAGCCUAUCACAAUUUAAUUUUUUUCAUGUAGAUGUAUUCUAUUAACAGGUUAUUCUCCAAGAACUGACAGAUUUGCAGAUUUGUCCUUUGGUUUAAAUCUGACUGCAAAAACAAAAGUGACUUUAGAGAUAGAAAAAGAAAAUAGUAGCCUCAGUACUGGCCUCUGGGGUUGCUGCUACAAAAACUUAAAAAAUGCUAAGAGAACUGAAAGUACUAGCUAAGUAAGCAAACCAAUGCUAUGUCCUAGACACUGAGUGAGCUGCUAACAAAUGCUAAUAACACCAAGCAUGUAACUAGAAAGCUGAAAAACAAUAGACUUUUCACUGCCUUCCCAUGGACCCAGUGGCCAAGACUUUGAAAGGAUGUACUGUUUCAGCCUUUCGUCAUACUCAACAUCUAUCCAUGUUAAAAUCUAGAAGCUGAAGGAGCAAGUCAAGACUUAAAAGUUGAGAAGAAUUCAGUUUGCAUCAAUGGACUUUUUGGACAAUGUGGGUUAACAGUAUGGGUUUCAUAAUUUGUCGAAUAAAUUCUUUGCGUUGUAA